UACGGAGGGUGCGAGCGUUGUCCGGAAUCAUUGGGCGUAAAGCGCACGCAGGUGGCUGAGUCAGUCGAUUGUGAAAGCCCUGGGCUUAACCUGGGAAUUGCAGUCGAUACUACUCAGCUAGAGUAUGGGAGAGGGUAGUGGAAUUCCCGGUGUAGCGGUGAAAUGCGUAGAUAUCGGGAGGAACAUCAGUGGCGAAGGCGGCUACCUGGCCCAAUACUGACACUCAGGUGCGACAGCGUGGGGAGCAAACAGG
rnacentral:rRNA from 1 species